rnacentral:rRNA from 1 species
UACGGAGGGAGCUAGCGUUAUUCGGAAUUACUGGGCGUAAAGCGCACGUAGGCGGCUUUGUAAGUAAGAGGUGAAAACCCGGAGCUCAACUCCGGAACUGCCUUUUAGACUGCAUCGCUUGAAUCCAGGAGAGGUGAGUGGAAUUCCGAGUGUAGAGGUGAAAUUCGUAGAUAUUCGGAAGAACACCAGUGGCGAAGGCGGCUCACUGGACUGGUAUUGACGCUGAGGUGCGAAAGCGUGGGGAGCAAACAGG